UGAAGGCGAUUAGUUUAAGAGAUUAAUUGAUUGACGAUAAUCACAGAAGAAGCACCGGCUAACUCCGUGCCAGCAGCCGCGGUAAUACGGAGGGUGCGAGCGUUAAUCGGAAUGACUGGGCGUAAAGGGCACGCAGGUGGUGACUUAAGUGAGGUGUGAAAUCCCCGGGCUUAACCUGGGAACAGCAUUUCAGACUGGGUGACUAGAGUACUUUAGGGAGGGGUAGAAUUCCACGUGUAGCGGUGAAAUGCGUAGAGAUGUGGAGGAAUACCGAAGGCGAAGGCAGCCCCUUGGGAAGAUACUGACGCUCGAGUGCGAAAGCGUGGGGAGCAAACAGGAUUAGAUACCCUGGUAGUCCACGCUGUAAACGAUGUCGAUUUGGGGAUUGGGUGAACACUUGGUGCCCGAA
rnacentral:rRNA from 1 species